rnacentral:rRNA from 1 species
UACGUAGGUGGCAAGCGUUACUCGGAAUCACUAGGCGUAAAGCGCAGGUAGGCGGUUUGGUAAGUCCGUUGUGAAAGCUCCCGGCUUAACUGGGAGAGGUCAACGGAAACUGCCAGGCUCGAGUGUGGUAGAGGAAACUGGAAUUCCCGGUGUAGCGGUGAAAUGCGUAGAUAUCGGGAGGAAUACCUAUGGCGAAAGCAGGUUUCUGGGCCAUCACUGACGCUGAGCUGCGAAAGCUAGGGGAG